ensembl:lncRNA
CUUCCACCCCGCCCGCCACCCACACUCCGCUUCGCAGCUGGGCCCCGAGCGAGCUCCACGCCGCCGGCCGGGAGUCCGGGGCUCACGGGUUCAAAGGGCCGCGGCCCCGAGGGGAUGCCCUCCUCGCUGUGCCCCGGGGGGCAGAAGCGGACCGCAGGGCUGUGGGACCGGCCCGGGCCACGAUAGAAAAGUAUCCAUAACUGGGGUCGUUGAGUCAAAAUAGCAAUGAUGACAACAACAGUGCGGUAAGGACCUAGACUGAGCCCUCGCUAUGCAUCAGAGACCUUGCCACGCAGCCACGCACGCACUGUGAUUUUCUGUGAUCCUUACAGCAGCUGGAGGAGGACUAAUGGGCUAAACAGAUUUAAUGCUUGGCUGUCAGCAUCCCUGUGGAAGACUCCAGCAGACUCACAUGUCCUACGGUUCAACUUUUCAAACCUACCUCUGUGUAAUUCCUAAGUAGGAGUCUGAGCUCUGUUGUCAUAUUUCAGUUUUACAGUUACUCUGAAAUAUUUUGAUCCAAAUAUGCCCUUAGUGUCAUGCUUUAUUAAUGCGAUGUGACUCAUAUUAGUGACUGCUUGCUCUUGAGCCAUAUGCCCUGAAUAAGUUAUCGGGUUUCAUUGUUUACCCUAAGUUUAAAAAAAAAUUCCAUGUGCUCCGACCUCCUGACACCUAAACCCAGCUCAUGCAGUUAAAACAGGAAAACUAGUUAUCUGAUAUCACUAAGGCAAAUCAGCUUGUAGAGCCGUCAAAUGUUUCCAUUUCCACUGGUGGGAGGGCAUUGUGGGCGCCAUGGAUUAUUCAUCAAGAAAGCACAGGAGAGAAUUUCUUUUCUGUUUGUUUGUUGAUUUCCAAAGUAAACCCAAGUAUGAAGAGAUACAGCUAUGGUGCCUUUAUUUUUCAUUGUUAGCACAUAUCAUUAUGUCAUCCUGGAAGAACUGCCCAAAAAAAGAGAAAAAAGAAAUUACCACGUGGAUUGCUUAACGGCCCUCCUCCUGCCUGCCUGCAGAAUUGUCUGAGAAAGGAAAAUACGCACGCAUUAGUCAGGCCCUCGGGGUUACAAGGCUUCUCACCACCAGCAGUGCCAGGUUAGCCUGGGAGUCUGCGGAGCAGGCUUUGGCAGGCCACCAGAGACAGGGCAUUUCAUAAUCAAGAACUUACCCGGGAGGGUUCUGAGCCAACAAGACAGUGUUGGGAGUCAAGGGCUAAGGAAGAAUGAGCGGAUUUAUUCUGUGGACCAAAACCUCUGCACUUAAAGACAUUUCCUUUCUAGUUUUGAUUGCCUUUUAUUUUAGCUGCUGCACAUUUUUUUUUCCCCUCGCCAGAUUUCACAAUAUAUCAACUGUUCUGUCUUUGGUGUACCUGACUGAAGUGUUACACAAAUCCGUCACUAAAGGAUAUACUGGCUAUACGCUGGGUGGUGGUGGUAGUGAUGGAAACACUUUCCUAAUAAGAUAUAGGAAUAAUGAACAUUUAUUGAGCACUUUUACCAAGUGAUACUAAGACAUGCAUGAGAUAGCUCAGGUAAUCCUCUGAACCCUAGCAUUUGGGUACUAUUACCAAGUUAAUUUCAGUUGAGGUAACAGAAGCAUGGAAAGGUUAAGUAACUUACCUGAAGUCACAGAGCAAGUAAGUCACAAAGGCAAGACAUGAAGCCCUGUAGCUUGAUGAAGUUCAUGGUCUUAGGAGAGACUCUUUGUUCCUCCAAAUGGUCCUAGCUCUUGCCUUGGGGUCCACCAGGAGCUGUUGGCAGUGCCUAGGUCCCCAUGUUUGCUUAAGGACCUAUAAUGUAAUAGGACCUAACUAAUAGGUCAUUUAAAACUACAAGAGAUGCGUUGGGUUGAAAGACAGUUUGGCAAUUUCUUAUAAAACUAAACACACUCUUCCCAUAUUAUCUAGCAAUGAUAUUUAUUCACAUGAGUUGAAGAUUUAUGUCCACAUCAAACUUUGCAUAUGAGCGUAUAUAGCAGCUUUAUUCAUAAUUGGCAAGACUUAGUACUUUUCCAGUUGUCCUUCAGUAAGUGACUGGAUAAACAAACCAUGGCACAACCAGAGAGUGGAAUGUCAUUCGACAAUAAAAAGAAAUGAGCUCGUAGACAGACAUGGAGGAGACUUACAUGUACUGUAUAUAAUUCCAACUAUAUGACAUUCUGGAAAAGGCAAAACUAUAGAGCAGUAAAAACCCCAGAUGUUCCAAGAGGCUCCAUGGGGAGAGAAGGAUG